rnacentral:lncRNA from 1 species
AUUAGCUUUUAGGUCNUUUGUUUGAUAGGCAAUAAGAAUAAUGUAUUAUAUCAACAAGCUCCAAAAAAACAGUGGUCUAAGGUAGACAGGACGUAUACAAAGAGCACUAAAGGAUAAAAAGAAACCCCCUCCCUUAGCAAGAGCCCAACUAAUUUUUGGGUCUUUAUGGUAUUACAUUUUCUUGUGAUCUUGAUAUGGUUCCUCUUGCAUGUAUUGGUGGAGUCAUUGGGUUGAAUGAUGCUCAGCUUUUUCAGAGAACAAUAUUAUUACUUAUGGUUUGCGAUUUCUAUUCAUUUAAAAAUUCUACCAAACUCCUCAGUUCCUAUAAUAUAUGGUAUGCUUCCAGUUAGAAAUCAUUACACCUGGUUUUGUAAUGGUAGAAUCUAUAUUUGCUAAUUCUAUCAAACAUUUCUAGUAACAGUUGAUGCAUUUUGUUUCUUCGAUUGACCAAUUAAAUGAAAUUUGUCACGUACUUCUCAGUGGAGAUUUCUUAUUUGGCCUACUUCCUUCAGCACUUGCCUUCUUGUUUUUGCUUUCUUUAAUUUUCUUUACCACUUUUAUGUAUUUUUUUUUGGUUCAUAUGUUUGCUGGGGUGGAUUACCCUCUCUCUCUCUCUCUCUCUCUCUCUCUCUCUCUAUAUAUAUAUAUAUAUAUAUAUAAAUAAAGAAUUUUCUCACUUCCUUGAGUUCUUUUAACUUCUUUUAGUUUUUACUCUUAAAAUUGGAAUAUUGAUUAAGUGUUUUUUUGGGGAAAGUGAAGGCCAUAGCUUGGUAUACCUUUUUCUUAAGAAGUUAAAUCUUUUCCCAUUUUGUUCUUUUAUUUGAUUAGCUAUAGCUAACAAAACCUUUGAUACGGUAUGGGAUCAGUGCUCUUUAAAAGAACUCCUUAUGUCUUACACUUGUAUACAUGGUUAGGAUUCAAAAUAGUCUUUUGACCUUAAUUCUUUUAUGAUAAUAAUGUAGAAAUAAAGGUAUAGAAACACCUUGCUUUGCCAUCGACUAAAUCCGAGCAACAA